rnacentral:rRNA from 1 species
GGUGAUAGCAAUAUCAUAGUGGCGCACGGGUGCGUAACACGUAUGCAACCUACCUUAUACUGAGGGAUAGCCUUUCGAAAGGGAGAUUAAUACCUCAUAACACAUUGAACUGGCAUCAGUUUAUUGUUAAAGAUUUAUUGGUAUAAGAUGGGCAUGCGACCAAUUAGUUAGUUGGCGAGGUAACGGCUCACCAAGACGAUGAUUGGUAGGGGAACUGAGAGGUUAAUCCCCCACACUGGCACAGAGAUACGGGCCAGACUCCUACGGGAGGCAGCAGUAGGGAAUAUUGGGCAAUGGAGGCAACUCUGACCCAGCCAUGCCGCGUGCAGGAAGAAGGCGUUAUGCGUUGUAAACUGCUUUUAUAUAGGAAGGAAUAGACCUUGCGAGGUAAGUUGACGGUACUAUAUGAAUAAACACCGGCUAACUCCGUGCCAGCAGCCGCGGUAAUACGGAGGGUGCAAGCGUUGUCCGGAUUUAUUGGGUUUAAAGGGUGCGUAGGCGGUUUAUUAAGUCAGUGGUGAAAGACGGUCGCUCAACGAUUGCAGUGCCAUUGAUACUGGUAGACUUGAGUGGGAUUGAGGUAGCUGGAAUGGAUAGUGUAGCGGUGAAAUGCAUAGAUAUUAUCCA